rnacentral:rRNA from 1 species
UACGAAGGGGGCUAGCGUUGUUCGGAUUUACUGGGCGUAAAGCGCACGUAGGCGGAUCGUUAAGUCGGGGGUGAAAUCCUGGAGCUCAACUCCAGAACUGCCUUCGAUACUGGCGAUCUAGAGUCCGGAAGAGGUGAGUGGAAUUCCUAGUGUAGAGGUGGAAUUCGUAGAUAUUGGGAAGAACACCGGUGGGCGAAGGCGGCUCACUGGACCAUAACUGACGCUGAUGCACGAAAGCUAGGGGAGCAAACAGG